CCUACGGGUGGCUGCAGUGAGGAAUAUUGGUCAAUGGGCGGGAGCCUGAACCAGCCAAGUCGCGUGAGGGAAGACGGUCCUACGGAUUGUAAACCUCUUUUGCCGGGGAGCAACGGGGUCCUUGCGAGGGCCCAAUGAGAGUACCCGGAGAAUAAGCAUCGGCUAACUCGGUGACAGCAGCCGCGGUAAUACGGGGGAUGCGAGCGUUAUCCGGAUUUAUUGGGGUAAAAGGGUGCGUAGGCGGGCUGUUAAGUCAGCGGUCAAAUGUCGGGGCUCAACCCCGGCUUGCCGUUGAUACUGGCGGCCUCGAGUGGGCGAGAAGUAUGCGGAAUGCGUGGGGUAGCGGUGAAAUGCAUAGAUAUAACGAAGAACUCCGAUUGCGAAGGCAGCAUACCGGCGCCCUACUGACGCUGAGGCACGAAAGCGUGGGUAUCGAACAGGAUUAGAUACCCUUGUAGUC
rnacentral:rRNA from 1 species